UAGAAUAUCAGCCAAGUUGGAAGAUUUCCUGAAGAUUCCAAUUCUUUCCAUUUUACUUCAUUCCCCACUACUGUGGAUGGAGUUGGUUGUAUACUGUUUUAUUUCUCCUUCCCCAGGAUGGCAAUGGAUACAUAGAUGAAAAUGAACUGGAUGCUUUACUGAAGGAUCUGUGUGAGAAGAAUAAACAGGACCUGGAUAUUAAUAAUAUUCCAACAUACAAGAAGAGCAUAAUGGCUUUGUCGGAUGGAGGGAAGCUGUACCGAACGGAUCUUGCUCUUAUUCUCUGUGCUGGGGACAACUAGAGUUGGCCACUACCACUUGCUAGUGAUACAUUGUACCUAAAACAUAACUGUGCACUAUAAGGGAGUAGGCUGUAUUUUCUUUUAUAUCUGUAAAUUUAACUGCAUAUAGAUAAUUAUCCAGGAUGUGUGGCUCAUUCUUUUCAUCUAGUUUCUAUACUGUUUGUAAUGUACAGUUUUUGUAACUAUAUGAUUGAAAAGGAGAAAGUCUGUGCUCAGGCCAGUUAGUACCACCAAUUAAAAAGAAAAGAAUAACCUAACAUAUUAUUGCUUUUAUAAAUACAGUUGGACAUGAUUUCCCUAAAAAUUACACCAGUAUUAAUCUCUAAAAUUCUAGUCUCUGAUAUGUAAACACAUUUGUCACUGAAUAAAAUAAUUAAACACAACAGACAAACAUUCUUACUUUAGACAAUCAGAGGACUGUCCCACAAGGUAUUUCUAAGUUAUAUUUUCAACUAUUAGGAGAAUUGUGCUUUUGCAUCUAAAAUACUCACCAAAAUACCAAUAAAUAGUUAAUUGUGGCUUUAUGAAACUAACAGCCUCGCUAGAGGAGACUUAGUUUACUAAUCAACAUCCUGUCUACUGCUUGAAUCCGUACCAAAUUAUUAGUUCAAGUUGACUUGGUGACAAAGGAAGGUAGCACCAGAUGACACAAAAAUCCAUCUGAUUCUAUGCCUGUAUUUCCAACAAGCCUACUGUCAAAGAGUAUGACCUUAAUCCAUUUUCUAAACUGUUUUCACAUGUGGCAGAUUAUAAUUAGUCUAGUAUACUGCUGUUUUAUGUCAUAUUCUGUGUAAUCUCUGAUUAAAUUUAAUAUACUGAGUAUCCUGGUGUCUAGUUUGCAUACUUCCUGGAUUUUCUGUCUAUGUAGAACUGUUCAUUUCCACCAAUGGUAUCUGCUGCCUCUGAAAAUAUUUUUUUCUAGCUAUAACAACUCUAUUUUUUACUACAUAAUUGAAUUUUAAUGUAAAAUUCAUAGCAUCCUGAUUAUAGAAUAUUAUAUCAUCGAUACUUUUGUGUAUUCUGUGAAUUCUAUAUUUCAUAUUGAGAUCAGCACUUAAAACAGUUCUAUUUCUAUCUGCAUAUAGUUUUAAAUGAGUCAAAAAAAAAAUAACGACUGAAGAGAAAUGCUAAUGUAGU